AUCAAGAGUGCUUUCCUCAUUCAACAUAUACAAAGAGAAAAUAUUCAAAGGAAAAAGUACAUCAGGACGAUCCUGGUAGCAGAUACUCCAUUUUCAUUGUGUUUGGAAUUCUUGGACUGGUGAUUCUGUGUUCCUUUUCAGUAUUCCUUUAUUGUACAAGAACUCCUAAAAUGAAAUCAUCUAAGGACAGUUCAAUUGAAGAAGCCCUAUGUGCUUAACUGAUACUUCUGAUUAUCAAUAUCAGUACACCGUAUAGUGGUAAUGAUAGUGAUGUACAAGUGUGGAAUCGUAGUAUGUGAAUAUUUUGAUCGUCAUUUUCUUGUGAAUGCCUUACCUGUAGUGUGUUGAGUUCGACAUAUCGCAUGCUUACUCAUAAUUUAGAUAUUGUAGAA